GAUGAACGCUGGCGGCGUGCCUAAUACAUGCAAGUCGAGCGAACAGACGAGGAGCUUGCUCCUCUGACGUUAGCGGCGGACGGGUGAGUAACACGUGGAUAACCUACCUAUAAGACUGGGAUAACUUCGGGAAACCGGAGCUAAUACCGGAUAAUAUAUUGAACCGCAUGGUUCAAUAGUGAAAGACGGUUUUGCUGUCACUUAUAGAUGGAUCCGCGCCGCAUUAGCUAGUUGGUAAGGUAACGGCUUACCAAGGCAACGAUGCGUAGCCGACCUGAGAGGGUGAUCGGCCACACUGGAACUGAGACACGGUCCAGACUCCUACGGGAGGCAGCAGUAGGGAAUCUUCCGCAAUGGGCGAAAGCUUGACGGAGCAACGCCGCGUGAGUGAUGAAGGUCUUCGGAUCGUAAAACUCUGUUAUUAGGGAGAACAAAUGUGUAAGUAACUAUGCACGUCUUGACGGUACCUAAUCAGAAAGCCACGGCUAACUACGUG
rnacentral:rRNA from 1 species